rnacentral:pre_miRNA from 13 species
CCUGGUUCCAUGGUGACCGUGGCUUUCGAUUGUUAUUGUCAGUGUGGUGUAGUAACAGUCUACAGCCAUGGUUGUUUGGACAGGA